GUCAAGUCCUCAUGGCCCUUAUGAACUGGGCUACAAACGUGCUACAAUGAAAACUACAAAAAGAAGCAAUAGUGUUUAAGCUGGAGCAAAUCUAUAAAAGUUUUCUUAGUUCGGAUUGUGGGCUGAAACUCGCCCACAUGAAGUUGGAAUCACUAGUAAUCGUAGAUCAGCACGCUACGGUGAAUAUGUACCUUGGCCUU
rnacentral:rRNA from 1 species